UACCAGCACCCCGAGUGGUCGGGACGAUUAUUGGGCCUAAAGCAUCCGUAGCCGGUCGUGCAAGUCCUCCGUUAAAUCCAGCCGCUCAACGGAUGGGCUGCGGAGGAUACUACAAGACUAGGAGGCGGGAGAGGCAAGCGGUACUUAGUGGGUAGGGGUAAAAUCCAUUGAUCCAUUGAAGACCACCAGUGGCGAAGGCGGCUUGCCAGAACGCGCUCGACGGUGAGGGAUGAAAGCUGGGGGAG
rnacentral:rRNA from 1 species